UUUAUCCUCUUUUGGAUUCCAAAUUUGAAUAGAAUUUUCUUGAUUUUCAGUAUAGCAAUCACAUGGGGAAAAAUAAAAGGAAAAUAAUUCUUUUUCAGAAACCAACUCUCCUUGCCUAUAUGCCUCACCCGCGCAGGGAAGCUUUCCCAUAUGCGUGCAACCUGUGCUUGUGUGGGUACUCAUACGCGUCACUACCCGCAUGUAUGACUCCCUUCUCCUGCACAAACUCACAUCCUCUACGUGUUAUAUGAUUUUUCCCACGCACUUAGCAUACUCUCAUGCGUGGAGAUUCGGCUUGGAUAUAGGCUAUUCACCUCGCACAUGUGUGCCUUCAUGUGCGCGCCCAAUGGGCCUCCAAGUCCAUGUGUUUGUUUGAGCUUCUUCUCUUUGGCGCAAUCUCCUUAGGUUGAGCCUCUCCUUGAACGUAAGGCUUUAUUGUGGCCUUAGUUUAGACCAAGACUUGGUCCACUUC
rnacentral:lncRNA from 1 species